GCUCCUGGCUCAGGACGAACGCUGGCGGCGCGCCUAACACAUGCAAGUCGAACGAGAGAGAAGGAGCUUGCUUCUUCGAUCGAGUGGCGAACGGGUGAGUAACGCGUGAGGAACCUGCCUCAAAGAGGGGGACAACAGUUGGAAACGACUGCUAAUACCGCAUAAGCCCACGGGUCGGCAUCGACCUGAGGGAAAAGGAGCAAUCCGCUUUGAGAUGGCCUCGCGUCCGAUUAGCUAGUUGG
rnacentral:rRNA from 1 species